rnacentral:rRNA from 1 species
AGUGAACGCUGGCGGUAGGCCUAACACAUGCAAGUCGAACGGCAGCACAGUAAGAGCUUGCUCUUACGGGUGGCGAGUGGCGGGCGGGUGAGGAAUACAUCGGAAUCUACUUUUUCGUGGGGGAUAACGUAGGGAAACUUACGCUAAUACCGCAUACGACCUACGGGUGAAAGCAGGGGAUCUUCGGACCUUGCGCGAGUGAAUGAGCCGAUGUCGGAUUAGCUAGUUGGCGGGGUAAAGGCCCACCAAGGCGACGAUCCGUAGCUGGUCUGAGAGGAUGAUCAGCCACACUGGAACUGAGACACGGUCCAGACUCCUACGGGAGGCAGCAGUGGGGAAUAUUGGACAAUGGGCGCAAGCCUGAUCCAGCCAUACCGCGUGGGUGAAGAAGGCCUUCGGGUUGUAAAGCCCUUUUGUUGGGAAAGAAAAGCAGCAGGUUAAUACCCCGCUGUUCUGACGGUACCCAAAGAAUAAGCACCGGCUAACUUCGUG